GCGGCGAGCGAAGCGGGAAGAGCUCAAAUUUAUAAUCUGGCACCUUCGGUGUCCGAGUUGUAAUCUCUAGAAAUGUUUUCCGCGUUGGACCGCACACAAGUCUGUUGGAAUACAGCGGCAUAGUGGUGAGACCCCCGUAUAUGGUGCGGACGCCCAGCGCUUUGUGAUACAUUUUCGAAGAGUCGAGUUGUUUGGGAAUGCAGCUCAAAUUGGGUGGUAAAUUCCAUCUAAAGCUAAAUAUUGGCGAGAGACCGAUAGCGAACAAGUACCGUGAGGGAAAGAUGAAAAGCACUUUGGAAAGAGAGUUAACAGUACGUGAAAUUGUUGGAAGGGAAACGCUUGAAGUCAGACUUGCUUGCCGAGCAAUCGGUUUGCAGGCCAGCAUCAGUUUUCCGGGAUGGAUAAUGGUAGAGAGAAGGUAGCAGUUUCGGCUGUGUUAUAGCUCUCUGCUGGAUACAUCUUGGGGGACUGAGGAACGCAGUGUGCCUUUGG
rnacentral:rRNA from 1 species